AGUCGAGCGGGGAAGGUAGCUUGCUACUGGACCUAGCGGCGGACGGGUGAGUAAUGCUUAGGAAUCUGCCUAUUAGUGGGGGACAACAUUCCGAAAGGAAUGCUAAUACCGCAUACGUCCUACGGGGGAAAGCAGGGGAUCUUCGGACCUUGCGCUAAUAGAUGAGCCUAAGUCGGAUUAGCUAGUUGGUGGGGUAAAGGCCUACCAAGGCGACGAUCUGUAGCGGGUCUGAGAGGAUGAUCCGCCACACUGGGACUGAGACACGGCCCAGACUCCUACGGGAGGCAGCAGUGGGGAAUAUUGGACAAUGGGCGGAAGCCUGAUCCAGCCAUGCCGCGUGUGUGAAGAAGGCCUUUUGGUUGUAAAGCACUUUAAGCGAGGAGGAGGCUCCUUUAGUUAAUACCUAAAGUGAGUGGACGUUACUCGCAGAAUAAGCACCGGCUAACUCUGUGCCAGCAGCCGCGGUAAUACAGAGGGUGCGAGCGUUAAUCGGAUUUACUGGGCGUAAAGCGUGCGUAGGCGGCUUUUUAAGUCGGAUGUGAAAUCCCUGAGCUUAACUUAGGAAUUGCAUUCGAUACUGGAAAGCUAGAGUAUGGGAGAGGAUGGUAGAAUUCCAGGUGUAGCGGUGAAAUGCGUAGAGAUCUGGAGGAAUACCGAUGGCGAACGCAGCCAUCUGGCCUAAUACUGACGCUGAGGUACG
rnacentral:rRNA from 1 species